rnacentral:rRNA from 1 species
UACGAAGGGGGCUAGCGUUGUUCGGAAUUACUGGGCGUAAAGGGUGCGUAGGCGGGUCUUUAAGUCAGGGGGGAAAUCCUGGAGCUCAACUCCAGAACUGCCUUUGAUACUGAGGAUCUUGAGUUCGGGAGAGGUGAGUGGAACUGCGAGUGUAGAGGUGAAAUUCGUAGAUAUUCGCAAGAACACCAGCGGCGAAGGCGGCUCACUGGCCCGAUACUGACGCUGAGGCACGAAAGCGUGGGGAGCAAACAGG